AGUAACGCGUGGGUAACCUGCCUUGUACAGAGGGAUAACAGUUGGAAACGGCUGCUAAUACCGCAUAAGCGCACGGCAUCGCAUGAUGCAGUGUGAAAAACUCCGGUGGUAUAAGAUGGACCCGCGUUGGAUUAGCUAGUUGGUGAGGUAACGGCCCACCAAGGCGACGAUCCAUAGCCGACCUGAGAGGGUGACCGGCCACAUUGGGACUGAGACACGGCCCAA
rnacentral:rRNA from 1 species